ACAUAGCCCUUUACAAUUAUAAGAGGUGUUACCUGCCCAAUGGUUUAUGAUUAAAGAAAUAAAAUUACUUAAAAUAGACUUAAAGGACGCAGUAUACUGACUGUGAUAAUGUAGCGUAAUCACUCGCCAUUUAAUUGGUGGAUAGUAUGAACGGAAAUACGAAUGUAACACUGUCUCAGUGAGAGAUCUUAUAAAAUUGGAAUGAUAGUCAAGAUACUAUCUAAAACUGUAAGACGAGAAGACCCUAUAGAGCUUAACUAUAUCUUUCUCAUAACCAUAAGUUUACUUAAUACGAAGAAAGAGAGGUAGUUUAGUUGGGGCGACUGCUUUCUAAAAGAAACGAAAGUACACAAUAUUAAUUAUUUAAUUUACUGUAUAAUUCAUAUAUUUAACAGUUAUAACAAUAGGUAAUAAUGACCCGUUAAUCCAAGAAAAUAUGAUUAACGAUAAAUAAAUAAAAGCUACCUUAGGGAUAACAGGAUAAUCUUGUUUUAGAGACCCAAUCGAAAACAAGGUUUGUCACCUCUAUGUUGAAUUAAGAUAUCCUAGAUACGCAGAAGUCUCUGAGGGUAGGUCUGUUCGACCUAUAAAUCUUA
rnacentral:rRNA from 1 species